rnacentral:rRNA from 1 species
AUUGAACGCUGGCGGCAGGCCUAACACAUGCAAGUCGAACGGUAGCACAGAGAGCUUGCUCUCGGGUGACGAGCGGCGGACGGGUGAGUAAUGUCUGGGAAACUGCCCGAUGGAGGGGGAUAACUACUGGAAACGGUAGCUAAUACCGCAUAACGUCUUCGGACCAAAGAGGGGGACCUUCGGGCCUCUUGCCAUCGGAUGUGCCCAGAUGGGAUUAGCUAGUAGGUGGGGUAAUGGCUCACCUAGGCGACGAUCCCUAGCUGGUCUGAGAGGAUGACCAGCCACACUGGAACUGAGACACGGUCCAGACUCCUACGGGAGGCAGCAGUGGGGAAUAUUGCACAAUGGGCGCAAGCCUGAUGCAGCCAUGCCGCGUGUAUGAAGAAGGCCUUCGGGUUGUAAAGUACUUUCAGCGAGGAGGAAGGCAUUAAGGUUAAUAACCUUGGUGAUUGACGUUACUCGCAGAAGAAGCACCGGCUAACUCCGUGCCACCGCCGCGUAAAC